AAUCAAAAUUUAGAUGGUAGAUAUGUAAAUAUGUAGAAUUAGGUGGUAUGUAUGUAAAUGCCCUUAAUUUAUGUUGCGCUGAAUGCAUGGUUGUAAAUUUUUCUUUUUUUUUUUGAUUAUUUUGAAAUAAAUUUAAUAAUUUUAAGAUUCAUUUUAUUUAAAAUUUUAUUUUUCCUUUUUAAAGUUUCGGCCGGAUCGCAAUCUUCCAUAUAUGCCCUGUGGUGGGCUGAUGUUGGGGCCCACCUUGUCAGUUUGACGUGUCGUGUAAAGCCCGUAGGUGUCGAGGCCUGGAAUUAUAUUGCUCUACAGUAUCAAGUGGGCCAGCCCAUGGUGCAUUCCAACCUGUCACGAACACCGGAGAGCCGCAGAAGAAUCUACUGAAUGGGGGCGGUGGGGGUCGUACGAAAAUCCAAAUGAAAUAAGUUUAUGCAUUUUGAACCUUCCAAAUCCUAUAUUGCUUCAUUUGUCCUCUUUCCCCCACACACGACUUCUUUCCUUUCUAAAGUUCCUCUACUAAAAAAGUUGUAAAUCUUAGCAUGGAUGAUCUUCUAUAAGAAAAUAUUACGUGUAGAUAACCGUACAUCCAAACCGCACCAUCAUGCACGUGAUCUUGCUCAGACUUGAUCUCCCUUAAUUGGUCGUCCAAAUAUGUUGCCAUUGUACGUUAAAUUUUCUCCGUAUGUAAUAUUUUCCCCUCCCAAGCCACAAAGCAAAUAAAUCUUCGCCUUGUGGCUUUUAUGUGAGUUUCUUUCAACGAUAAUAAUGAUCUUCAAUAAGCCUUCU